rnacentral:misc_RNA from 1 species
GAGAAUGUGAUUAGUUUAAAUGUAAGUAAUGUAGAUAAUGUGACUGUCUCAUGUCUUGAUGCCUCCAUCAAUACAACAAUACAAGUUCACCCUCAUGGUAUCCUGAGCAAUGGUGAUACAAAAAAUUGCCAUCUCCUGAAUACGAGAUUAACUGAGCAGAUUAAAGUGGAGUCUGCUGGUUCAGUUAACCAGCAGAUUGGUCCAUCAGAUGUAGCUCAACGUAGUUUUGUUGACAGAUCAAGUGUGAUAACUACUUGCACCUCUGCAAACAGUGAUGGAAGUCAUAUUG